CCCUUAGAUGUUCUGGGCUGCACGCGCGCUACACUGAUGCACUCAACGAGUUUACGACCUUGCCCGAUAGGGUUAGGUAAUCUUUUUAAAAUGCAUCGUGAUGGGGAUAGAUUAUUGCAAUUAUUAAUCUUCAACGAGGAAUUCCUAGUAAGCGCGAGUCAUCAGCUCGUGCUGAUUACGUCCCUGCCCUUUGUACACACCGCCCGUCGCUCCUACCGAUUGAGUGCUCAGGUGAAUAAUUCGGACUGCAGCAAUGUUUGGAUCCCGAACGUUGCAGCGGAAAGUUUAGUGAACCUUAUCACUUAGAGGAAGGAGAAGUCGUAACA
rnacentral:rRNA from 1 species